rnacentral:rRNA from 1 species
UGCCAGCAGCCGCGGUAAUACGGAGGGGGUUAGCGUUGUUCGGAAUUACUGGGCGUAAAGCGCACGUAGGCGGAUUAGAAAGUUAGAGGUGAAAUCCCGGGGCUCAACCCCGGAACUGCCUUUAAAACUACUAGUCUAGAGUUCGAGAGAGGUGAGUGGAAUUCCGAGUGUAGAGGUGAAAUUCGUAGAUAUUCGGAGGAACACCAGUGGCGAAGGCGGCUCACUGGCUCGAUACUGACGCUGUGGUGCGAAAGCCAGGGUAGCAAAAGGGAUUAGAUA